GCUCCGCCUCUGGGUCCCCGCGGAACCGGAAGCCGGGAACCUGUGGCCGGGCGAGCGCCGUCGCGGCGGCCAGUGCGCGUGCGCUGAAUUGCAAAGGCCUUGACGCGGCUUGGUGACGAAACCUGCGGUGGAUGGCACAGGCUGGAGUUCGCUGAGCGCUCGCGGUGUGCGCACCCUGCUGAAGCGCGCUGCUUGUGUCAUGUUAUUGGAUCGUCACCACAGCCCCAGGAGGUGCUUAGUAAUAUCCCCGUUUUACAGCCAUGAUUUCAUCUGACAUCAGGAAUGAUAUCCCUUGUUCCAUGUCCUCUUCUGAAUCUGGCUUGAAUUUCUGGCAGUUCCCUGUCGAUGUCCUGCUCCAACCACUUGUUUCUAAAGUUUGCAAUUACACCUUUAUUUGUAUGAUUAUAUUAAUGCCUGAUGACUCCAUCAAGCUGGAAGCUCAUAGGGUCAGGAACUACCCAGGCACUGCACACUGAACUAGUGUGUCUGAGUCUGGCUUCUUCUACAUUUAAUAGGUUUCUUAACCCUUGUUCUCCUAUAAACUGUUGGUUAGUUCUAGAGGCUUGAUCAGAUUCAGGUUUGGUUUUUGGUAGGAAAACUAGCCAGGUAGGGGUAUACUUCCUGUUGUAUCACAUUAGGGAGCCCUCUCUUACAGUAGAGCAGAUGGCCCAAGAUCAUCAGUCAUUUGAGGAAAGCCCCUAACAUAAAAGACACGAGCCAAAAAGCCUAGAAAAAAAGCAAGUUAGAGGAGCAAAGACUAAGACUGACUAUAAGGAAAGGCUGGCCAUCUACUUCCGAAAAUCGGCUAGUGAAAACCCAGUGGAUCGAAAUGGUCUGAUUUGCAACCAGUCAUGAGGUUGGUACCGGACCAGGCAGCAUUUUGUCCCAUUGUGCAUGGGGUAACCAUGAGUUAGGGGCCGACUGGAUAGCAGCUAACACCAAGUCCUGACUAACCACCCCCAGGUGAUGCUCUCCAACCAUGCAGUCUCCUCUGCCUGGGCCCUAGGGUUCUGGUCUCCCCCACACCCUGCCCCACAGUUUUUCAUUACACCCAUGUCCCUUCUAUCUUUUGCACUUGGCUCCACCUUCAUUUCUAACUGCAGAGACAAAUCUGUUUAACCUUCAUGACCUAAUUUCAUCGGUUAGUAAUUUACAUUCAUUGCCACCUUUUCCUGCCAGUACCCCUUGACUGAGUCCCUGUCCUCACCAUACCACUGUUUUCUAAAACAUCAAUGUCAUGCUUAAGAACAAACCCAAGGGUCUCUUAUUGGUUCUCAGAGUUCCUUUCUGCAUUACCAGUCCUAAAUUUCUCCUCCUUUUUGAAUCUAUUUCUUCUUCUUGAUUUCCAUGAUACCUCUCUCUCUCCCAGUUUUUUUUUUCACAUAUCAUUGUUUUAUUUUCAUCAUUGUACUUUUUUUUAAUAAAUAAUAUUUUAUUGUGUUUUAGGUGAAAGUUUACACAGCAAAUUUGUUUCCCAUUUAAUAAUUUUUAUACAAAUUGUUCCAUGACAUUGAUUACAUUUUUCACAAUGUGUCAGCAUUCUCAUUAUUUCUGUUCUGUUUCCUUUUAUCUAGCUUCCCUGCUCCUCCUUACCUACUCAUCUUUGCUUUAUGGUAAAUGUUGACAUGUGGUCUCAUAUAGUUGAUUAUUUAAGGGAGCAUGGUACUCACAGGUGAUAAUGUUCAUUUUAUAAGCCAAUCUAGUAUUUGGAUGAAAGGUGACUCUGUGAGUAGCUUCAUUUCCAAGUUCAAAGGGUAUUUUAGGGCGAUAGUCUUGGGGGUUCCUCUAGUCUCUAUUGGUCCAGUAAGUCUGGCCUAUUUUAGGAAUUUGAGUUUUGCUCUACAUUUUUCUCCCAUUCUGUUCGGGACCUUAUAUUGUGUCCCUGGUCAGAAUGCUCAGUAAUGGUAGUCGGGCACCAUCUAGUUCUUCUGGUCUCAGGCUAUAUGAGGCCAUGGUUCAUUUGGGCUAUUAGUCCUGUGGACUAGUUUCUUUUUUGUGUCUUUGGUUUCCUUCAUUCUCUUUUGUUCCAGAUGAGUAGAGACCAAGAGUUGUAUCUUAGAUGGCCACUCGCAAGUUUUUAAGACCCCAGAUGUUACUCAUCAAACUAGGAUGUAGAACACUAUCUUUAUGAGCUAUGUUGUGCCAAUUGACCAAGUUGUCCCCCGAGACUAUGGACUUAAACCUUUUAACCCAGUAAGACAGCCCUUCAAGGUGUUUGUAUAUGUCUAGUUAGUCUCUGUAACUGUGCCCCCUAUAUACUUUAUUAUAUAAAUGAACAUAUAUGUAGCGCACACAAACAAGUAUAUGCCUACAGAUACACCUAUACAUGAAUAUGCAUGUACUCAUAUUUGCCUUCCUAUACACACGUAUACAUACAUACCUACCUGUGUAACCACACACAUUUUUUUUCUCAGUUUGUUUUUAAUCUUUCCUGAUUUUUUUCUCUCACUGUCCUUUUGUUUCUUCUUCAAAACGAAUGUAUUGUCCCAGCUUUUAUAAUGUAUAUGUAUUAGUUUUAUAAUCAGAAAAAAAACAGUACAUGUUAUUACAAAGAAAGGGUAGGAAACAUGUCUCCAGGUAUCCUUGGCUUCUCCUAUUUAUUCACCAUGGACUUAGCAUUUGUGAUUUUUUUCUAAAUGCUAUUUGAACCUACCUAUGUUUUCAGCACGUACCAAUGUUGGUGCAUAAUGAGUUCCACAAGGUCACCCUGCUGUACAAAAUAUUACUUUAUAGACUCUUACAUUUUUUUCAUCAUCUUUCAAACCAAAGUGAUACCUUGCAUUCAAGAAUUUUAUAAGAUGGGUUCAGUGUGUGUCUGAGGCAAGAUCUGUGAAAGGACGCAGUGGGUGGAGGAUGGCAGCACUUUGGGGCUAGUGGGAGGAAGAGGAGCUGGUGAAGACUGGGAAGAAGAGAUAAAAAACCAUGCCCCCUAUGGAUGCCAAGGGAGGACAGAUCUGACUGCGUCACUUCCCCGCCUUCCUACACACACCACAUACAAUGGUGGGACAGGGAUAGGACAAUCACAAUAGAUGCUCUGGUUCCAAAGAGAGGAAAUGUGAGGCUCACAAAGUCACUUGUAGCAGUUCUGAACUCCAGCUGAGCAUGUUUCAAGUUCCUUGAUUAGGGUCCAGUAUGACUCCCUGGGAAUGAUUCUCUGCAACUUUCUCUCUUUUUUUAAAGUAGUUAUUUUAUUUUUGUUGUUGAAAAUAUGCACAGCAGAACACACACCAAUUUGAUAAUUUCUACAUGUAUAAUUCAGUGACAUUGAUUAUAUUCUUUAAGUUGUCCAACCAUUCUCACCCUCCUUUUCCAAAUUGUUUCUCCCCCAUUAACAUAAACUUGCUGCCCCCUAGGUUGAUAUUCUGUGGCUCCUAACUCUACCCUUCCACCUCUUAGUUUUGCCUUCAGAGUCAGCCUUUUUCUUCCACAGAAAAUAGCCCAUAUUUGCAGCUGAGUAGUUUUCUCAGCCUGUUUUCUGCCCAUUGAUGUUCAGGAGUCCAAAAAUCUCUUUUAAUUUUAUACUGUCUCUGUUCCUUUCAGUUCAAGUUGAUGGCACUUCUACCAAUACAAUUGUCUUUAAAACUCUGUGGUCUUCUAUGAAUCUUAUUGGGGAUCCUUCCAUUAGACAAAAACCAUAAUCAUAAAUCUCUUUAAUACAGGGCGUUCCCUAUCUUGGGCCCCUAGUGAGGCUGCUAAGGGAUAAUAUUCUUAAGAUCCUUAGAAGCCUUAAGAGCCAUAGGUGUACUUCUGUCUGAAAGGCUCUAGGAGGUCUUAACAAAGGGUUGCAUAAUCAAAAUUCUGGCUUUGUCUUUACCCAGAGGCCAUGCUUUCCUAACAGUGCCCUGGAUUUGAUCUUUGCCCUCAGGUCCUUUAUUACUUUAUUACUUUGAGAAUUCUUUGCUGGCUGAAAAGACUGUCCUGGACCCUUUACAUCUCUUCCAAAUUCUGCUUGAAAACAGUAUAAUUCCUUUUGUAACACUUCUCUGACCAUUUGUAUCUUAAGACAUAAAGCUAAAAUAAGCCAAUGAAUAUUUUUAACAUUUCUGCCUGGAAAUCUUAGCCAAGAUCCAUCAGUUCAUUAGUUACUUUUUCUAUUUUUCACGUUAGUGCAGACAACAUCUAAACUUACCUUUACUACAUAAUAAGGGUCUCCAUUCCUUUACCUUCCAAUAACAUUUUCCUUGACUUUCCUUCAAGCCUUCACCAACAGUCUCCUCAAGGCCCCUCCAGCUGUCCAUAACAGUCUCCUUGAGGUCUCUCAGGACCCACCACCUGGGCCCAAAACCAAUGCCAUAUGCUUUAAGUUUUGCUAUGGCAGUGUCUCAUGUCCAGGUACCAAAUUCUGUUCCAGUUACCUAUUGCUGCAUCACAAACUAUUUCAAACUUAGUGGCAUAAAACAAUAGCCAUUUGAUUAUGUCCACAGACUCUGUGGAUUAGAAAUUUGGGCAGGGUACAGAGGGAAUGGUUUGUCUACACUCCAUUUGUCUUUUGCCUCAUUGAGGACUCAGGUGACUGGGGGUGGCUGAAAUGGCCGAGGGCUGAAACAGCUGACAUUAGAGAAUUCACUUCCAAGAUGGCUCCUUCAUUCACAUGUAUGCCACCUUGGUACACAUGGCUGGAGGGUUGAGCUCAGCUGGAACUCUUGGCCAGAGUGUAUACACAUGGCCUCCUGAGUGUGGUGGCCUCAGGGCAGCUGGACUUCUUACAUAAUGGCUCUGGAGGAAAAGGAGCUAACAAAGGGGAAUAGAGCUAGUGAGAGACAGGGUGAGGCUCAUUCCUUUUGACAGGGUUUUCCAGACAGAACAGAGAGGCACCUGACCCUGGAGAGGGUUUGGGAUAGUAGGCUGGGAAGGAAGUCUGUCUUGGCCAUCUGUGAGAUGAGGAGGUGGGGGAGGGGGGUGCGAUCAGUGAGAGGGUCGACGCAGGUUUGCUGGAAGUAGCCAAACUUGGGUGAAAGCAGAUGGUGUCUGUGAGCUGGAUCUGGUCAGCUCAGCUCUGGAAUUUCUCCAGCUCUACUUGGGAGCUGGGAAUGGGAAUGAAGAGCCUCAGUGAGAGGACUAUCCCAGGAGUUGGGGGUGUAUGCCGUGGUCACCAUUUGGGGCAGUAGCUGCCAGAUUGGAGUGGAUGGUGCAGUGGGUUGAAUAACACCCUCCAAAAGAGAUAUGCCCAAGUCCUAACCCCCUUACCUGAGAAUAUGACCCUAUUUAAAAACAGGGUCUUUGCAGAUGUAAUUAAAUUAAGGAUCUUGAGCUGAGAUCAUUCUGGAUUUAAGGUGAGCUGCAAAUCCAAUAAGAGAAAGGAGAGGGAGAUUUGAGAUACAGAGACACAGAGGAAAAUGCUAUGUGAAGACGGAGGCUGAGACUGGAGGGCAGCCACAAGCCAAGAAACGCCAAGGAUUGCUGGCAGGGAGGGAAGCAUGGAAUGGAUUCUCCCACAGAGCCUCCAAAAGAAACCAACCCUGCCAACACCUUAACCUCAGGCUUCUGGAUUCCCCAAAUGUGAGAGAAUAAAUUUCUGUUGUUUUAAACCACCCAGUUUGUGGUAAUUUGUUACAGAACCCCUAGGAAACUAAUACUGAUGUACUUGGGAGAAGAGAGUCAUGGUGAGGUUGAAGGGCUGGUUGGAGGUAGGGGGCCGGGGGGAAAGAUAAGGGAGCCCAGCGCUGCCUCAACCCCUAUUGAGACUGCCCCAUGCUUUCCUUUCCACCAGUUCCUGCCCUUCGGCCUUUCCCACUCUUCAAGCCCUGAUGCAGAGGAUUCCCCUUUUCCAC